UAUAAGUGAAGCUAUAAGUUUUCGUGCCCAACUUUGAUCGUCUGUCUUGUUUGAAAUUUUUUUAUGAUUAGUAUUUUUGUUGUUAUUAGAUGAUAAAAUAUGAAUAGUACUUUAUACGUGACUUAUGUUUUUAAUUUUUUUUUAAAAAAAUUUAAAUAAGACAGACGAUUAAUGUUGGACACGGAAAAUCAUGGAUGCACUUAAA
rfam:Oryza glumipatula chromosome 3, whole genome shotgun sequence.